rnacentral:rRNA from 1 species
UACGUAGGCAGCGAGCGUUGUUCGGAAUUACUGGGCGUAAAGAGUGUGUAGGCGGUGCUCUAAGUUCGGUGUGAAAUCUCCCGGCUCAACUGGGAGGGUGCGCCGGAAACUGGAGUGCUUGAGCGUGGGAGAGGAAAGCGGAAUUCCUGGUGUAGCGGUGAAAUGCGUAGAUAUCAGGAGGAACACCUGUGGUGUAGACGGCUUUCUGGACCAUAGCUGACGCUGAGACACGAAAGCGUGGGUAGCAAACAGG